rnacentral:lncRNA from 1 species
AUGGAAUUCCAGCCUCUCUGGCAGGUCACCCGCGAAUCGAGAUGCUGAGAGUCAGACACCGGUUCCAGCUCGUUCUCACAGAUUCCAGCUUAUCCUCGCUGCUUCUCCCCAUCUCAGCAGCCGCCCGUUCCCAGCCCAGGGUCCUUGCACCAGUCGGCC